UUAACUCAAUUUUAUAUGAACUUGGAACGUUUGCCUACGUUUGCCGCUAGGGGCGCUGUUUCAACUGAAUACAAAUUCGAGUUA
rnacentral:pre_miRNA from 1 species